rnacentral:rRNA from 1 species
AUACGGAGGACGCGAGCGUUAUCCAGAUUCAUUGGGUUUAAAGGGUGCGCAGGCGGCCGUGCAAGUCAGCGGUGAAAGCCCGGGGCUCAACCCCGGAAGUGCCGUUGAUACUGCAUGGCUGGAAUGCGGUCGAGGCGGGCGGGACGUGGCGUGGGGCGGGGGAAUGCGUAGAUAUGCCACAGAACGCCGAUAGCGGAGGCAGCUCGCCAGGCCUGCAUUGACGCUCGGGCACGAAAGCGUGGGGAUCGAACAGGAUUAGAUACCCUGGUAGUCCACGCCGUAAACGAUGGGCGCUCGUCGUCGGCGGCAGACAGUCGGCGGCCAAGCGAAAGCGAUAAGCGCCCCACCUGGGGAGUACGGUCGCAAGGCUGAAACUCAAAUGAAUUGACGGGG